GGGCUCAAAUGAUCGAGCCACACCCAAUGUGGCAUUUACUUCUUGCCGUCAGUGCAUAAUGUAGAACUCUCAGUUCCUUCUCCCACACCACGUCUGCCUAGAUGCUGCCAUGCUUCCCGCCAUGAAGACAAUGAACUACACCUCUGAAACUGGCAAGUGAGGACAGGAUGGGAGCCUGGAGCAAGAGUGGAGAGGUGUCCAAGUCCGAAAAUCUCAUCUUGAGACCUGCAGGAAUAAAAUAAAGAGAGCUGUCUCACUGAAAACCUCCUGGAGAAGGCUGUUUCUCCAUUGCACUCAACCGGCCACGAUCCUGCAAAGCCACCCUUCCAGGACAAGCUCUGAGCACUCCCAGGGCAGAAGCAGAGCUGGCUCACAUUCUGACUGUUGUCAUUUUCUGUAUCAAGAAUAAAAGUAACUGAAAUUUGUGUCCUA